UACGUAGGGUGCGAGCGUUGCCCGGAUUUAUUGGGCGUAAAGGGCGCGUAGGCGGCUCUGCACGUCCGUUGUGAAAUCGCCCGGCUCAACUGGGCGGGGUCAGCGGAUACGGCAGAGCUCGAGCAAGCUAGGGGGCAAUGGAAUUCCCGGUGUAGUGGUGGAAUGCGUAGAUAUCGGGAGGAACACCAGUGGCGAAGGCGGUUGCCUGGAGCUUUGCUGACGCUGAUGCGCGAAAGCGUGGGGAGCGAUCCGG
rnacentral:rRNA from 1 species